rnacentral:tRNA from 1 species
GUGCUCUUAGUUCAGUUCGAAAGAACGUGGGUCUCCAAAAUCCGAUGUCGUAGGUUUAAAUACUACAGAGCAUG